UGAUAUUUUUGGUUUCCCACAGAUACACCAAACCUAAAGGACAGUUGCCAGAUUACACCUCGCCAGUUGUUUUAAAAGAUGGGAAGAGUUCAAUUGAAGAAUUUGCCAACAAACUCCACAGAAGUUUACUGAAAGAAUUCAAAUAUGCAUUGGUGUGGGGAUCAUCAGUAAGGCAUCAACCUCAGAAAGUUGGAAAGGAUCAUAUUCUAAAUGACGAAGAUGUGGUCCAAAUUGUGAAAAAAGUCUGAGAUUGACUGUUACCUGUUCCUGAGUUAUUGACUGCUCCACAUCAAAGAAGGAAAUCUACAGCAUCUGGUGAAAUUCAUAAUUCUUGGAUUUCCUUGG